GGAAAAUUGAUCAUCGGCAAGAUAAGUUAUUUACUAAAUAAUAGGAUUUAAUAACCUGGUGAGUUCGAAUCUCACAUUUUCCG
rnacentral:tRNA from 2 species